rnacentral:rRNA from 1 species
CCUACGGGAGGCUGCAGUGAGGAAUAUUGGUCAAUGGACGGAAGUCUGAACCAGCCAAGUAGCGUGCAGGAUGACGGCCCUAUGGGUUGUAAACUGCUUUUGUAUGGGGAUAAAGUUAGGGACGUGUCCCUAUUUGCAGGUACCAUACGAAUAAGGACCGGCUAAUUCCGUGCCAGCAGCCGCGGUAAUACGGAAGGUCCAGGCGUUAUCCGGAUUUAUUGGGUUUAAAGGGAGCGUAGGCUGGAGAUUAAGUGUGUUGUGAAAUGUAGACGCUCAACGUCUGAAUUGCAGCGCAUACUGGUUUCCUUGAGUACGCACAACGUUGGCGGAAUUCGUCGUGUAGCGGUGAAAUGCUUAGAUAUGACGAAGAACUCCGAUUGCGAAGGCAGCUGACGGGAGCGCAACUGACGCUUAAGCUCGAAGGUGCGGGUAUCAAACAG